AUUUUCCCUCCUUUUUCCUAUUUUCUCUCACAUGCUGCCUCUCUUCCCUUAUCACACGCAACCUUCCGAUUUUUUUCACACUAAAAAGCCCCCUCUUAUUUUCUUCACGUCAGACGACCCUCCACCAAAUUUCUUUUCUCGCCCCCCUCUUCUCACCGAACGUGUCCCCCUUCCCUUCCGAUUUUCUUCUCACCGAAAAGCCCCCUUCCCCUUUGAUUUUCUUCACGUGGAAUGGCCCCCACCGAAUUUCUUCACCACUGGAGUUCUUCUCGAUCUCCCUUCUCCUCACUGGACACGCCCCCUUCUGAUUUUCUUCUCACCGAAAAGCCGCCCCCCUCUGAUUUUCUUCCCUUUUUCGUUCACUACUGAAUGUUAGAGGAUGAGAGUUUUUCUUUUUUGUUUUUUGAGUUCAAUGUAUUUGUUUUCUUUGAUUGAUUUCGUUGGUUUUUUAUUCAGGGUGGUGAGAGUUCAUCGAUGAUUUGGUUUCAUUCAAAGAAUUUGUUUUGAUUUGCAGAAUGAUUCUCUGCAAUAAAUAGAUGCGGGGAGGUGUUGAAGCACUUAACUCAGUUGAAUAGACUGAUACAAGAGUUUCUACUCACAGCUUGAAUUGGAUGAAGUAUGAGCGGAGUGGGCUAAAUUUUUAGCUUUGUACAUAUGAUAGACAUCCUUAGAUGUGAUCUUAUUAAUUUUGUGAAUGACUAAUAUAUGGGAAUGCCCAUAACUUUUUUUUUUUUUUUUUGUAAAUGUUUCGUUCAUAGCUAUUAUGCUUAUGUACAUGCAAUAGAUGUAAAGGGAUAGAUUUUAGUUUUGGUAUACCACACAUGUUUUUGGUUAUAUAAGAUAAUUAUUUUGUUGAUUUUGGAAUAGGCCACAUAUAGGAAAUUUUAGUUGACUAUAUUGGAUUGGAAUUGUGUAAUUGUUGACGAUGUUGUUGAGAGUAAUAAAAUUAUUGUUGGUUUACUUAUACUAAA